rnacentral:rRNA from 1 species
CGAUGGCCACACUGUCUCUCCUGAGACUCAGCGAAGUUGAAAUGUUUGUGAAGAUGCAAUCUCCCCGCUGCUAGACGGAAAGACCCCGUGAACCUUUACUGUAGCUUUGCAUUGGACUUUGACAGACUUGUGUAGGAUAGGUGGGAGGCUUUGAAGUGGGAACGGCCAGUUCUCAUGGAGCCGUCCUUGAAAUACCACCCUGGUGUGUUUGAGGUUCUAACCUGGGUCCGUCAUCCGGAUCGGGGACCGUGCAUGGUAGGCAGUUUGACUGGGGCGGUCUCCUCCCAAAGUGUAACGGAGGAGCUCGAAGGUCGCCUAGGUACGGUCGGACAUCGUACUGAUAGUGUAAUGGCAUAAGGCGGCUUAACUGCGAGACCGACAAGUCGAGCAGGUGCGAAAGCAGGAC